CCUGGGAAUUAGGAUCUUAUCUGAGGUUAUAAAUACAAAUAACAACAGAAACGAUGGCAUUAAAAAAUUACCCUUUUUUGGGUGGCUGGCUCCUCGUCUGCUUCUGCAUCUGCAUCUGAUCUGCUGCAAACGUGUGUGAAGAAAACCUAGCCUCCCACCGGAAGGGGGAGAGAGAAAGCAUUUAAUAGCGGUUUCAGGUUAAUCAGAGAGCAUGCACAGAAGUAUGAGAGGGAGAAGCAG